AGUGAACGCUGGCGGUAGGCCUAACACAUGCAAGUCGAACGGCAGCACAGGAGAGCUUGCUCUCUGGGUGGCGAGUGGCGGACGGGUGAGGAAUACAUCGGAAUCUACUUUUUCGUGGGGGAUAACGUAGGGAAACUUACGCUAAUACCGCAUACGACCUACGGGUGAAAGCAGGGGACCUUCGGGCCUUGCGCGAUUGAAUGAGCCGAUGUCGGAUUAGCUAGUUGGCGGGGUAAAGGCCCACCAAGGCGACGAUCCGUAGCUGGUCUGAGAGGAUGAUCAGCCACACUGGAACUGAGACACGGUCCAGACUCCUACGGGAGGCAGCAGUGGGGAAUAUUGGACAAUGGGCGCAAGCCUGACCCAGCCAUACCGCGUGGGUGAAGAAGGCCUUCGGGUUGUAAAGCCCUUUUGUUGGGAAAGAAAUCCAGCUGGCUAAUACCCGGUUGGGAUGACGGUACCCAAAGAAUAAGCACCGGCUAACUUCGUGCCAGCAGCCGCCGCCGUAA
rnacentral:rRNA from 1 species